rnacentral:sRNA from 1 species
CCGACUUGAUACAAACACAAGCGUUUGCUUUGUGAUAUCAGUUGCAUUGGCAAACUUGAGUCAAGCCCUCAAGCCCUCCACCCCACACAGAUCGGCCAAUCUAACCGUCAACAGUUGAAAAGGCUACGGAGCUCGCGUGUGCGAAAUGUUGGCAACUAUUUUUCGGCUUGCUGGAGAAGCCUUUCCACCCAUCCGUCUGGAUUGCCGUUAGUGUACAAUACCCUACAUUCAGUUUAUCAUGUGGUAAGAAUCAAAUUUCAGAACACAAUGAUCGAACGAGGACACUAUUUUACAUGCUGAACAGUGCAAUCGCCUGGACGACAUCUCACAUCCAGUAACUUAUCACCUGUUUUUCCCCAAACACCACGAACAAUACCAAAUCACACUUUUGUUACGAAAC